UAAGUGAUCUCUUGACACGUAAUAAUCUUGAGUCGACUUAACAAAUAACUUGUACAAUGGGUUGUCUUUUUAAGUUGUCUCAUAGUAAUUCUAUUUUCUUAAUUUGUGUAUAAAAAAAGAAAUAUUAUGAGUUGCACAACUCGUACAAUGGGGGAGUAAUUGUUUCAUAGUCCUAAAAUCUAACCUAUGAGGUGGAUGUUUCAUGAAACAAUGACCUCUUUCUCUCUCCUCACCCUCUCUCCUCCACAUUAGCAAAAAUCCUAUGUGGCAUUGCAUUGCAUGAGACGACCUAUAAGACUGCUGAGGUGUAGCAAUGUACUUGCCCUAAGAGCAACUCCAACAGAAUAUCCACUAUUAACUCUCCAUUUGACUCUCUAUCCAAAUUGGUAAAAUGAUUCCUCUCCUUAUUGAGUUGCUCAUUCCAACAGACUAUCCAUUUCCCACUCUCCAAAUCCUAAUAGCUAGUUUCCUCUCUAAAAAUCUACACUCUCC
rnacentral:lncRNA from 1 species